rnacentral:rRNA from 1 species
AUUGAACGCUGGCGGCAUGCUUUACACAUGCAAGUCGAACGGUAACAGGCCUUCGGGUGCUGACGAGUGGCGAACGGGUGAGUAAUGCAUCGGAACGUACCCAGAGGUGGGGGAUAACGCAGCGAAAGCUGUGCUAAUACCGCAUGUGAUCUGAGGAUGAAAGCGGGGGACCGAGCAGCAAUGUUUGGCCUCGCGCCUUUGGAGCGGCCGAUGUCGGAUUAGCUAGUUGGUGGGGUAAAGGCCUACCAAGGCGACGAUCCGUAGCUGGUGUGAGAGGACGACCAGCCACAUUGGGACUUAGCCACGGCCCAGACUCCUACGGGAGGCAGCAGUGGGGAAUGUUGGACAAUGGGCGCAAGCCUGAUCCAGCAAUGCCGCGUGCGGGAAGACGGCCUUCGGGUUGUAAACCGCUUUUGGCAGGAACGAAACGGUGUCCGCUAAUACCGGGCGCUAAUGACGGUACCUGCAGAAUAAGCACCGGCUAACUACGUG